AUUUGUCCGGGGGAAAUAAAAUGAAUGUGUGCAUCAAUUCCACCAGCAGUUAUAAUUUUACCUUCUGCUGAUAAUAUUUCAGUGUUAGCUCCAAUUUCUAAACCCUCAGUUAUUCCAUCACAAUUGUAUGGAUUCCCACUUUUACCAAUAGCAGAUAUUUUUCCAUUCUUUAUUCCAAUAUCAGCUUUGUAAAUGCCUGUGUAGUCAAUGAUUGUUGCAUUCGUAAUUAUUAAAUCUGCAACAUCUACUGCAAGUGGAGAUUGGCUCAUUCCAUCUC
rnacentral:sRNA from 1 species